UCUAUGUCGAUAAAGUGUUUUUUGAUCAAAUUAAACUGAACUGAAACAAAGAAACAAAAAAUCCAAGCUUGCAUACCUCUCUCAUGUUCCAAUGGUCGGUUUUUUUGAAUCAAAGCCCUGAUUCAUAAUCUUUGGGCUCUAUCUUAUUCUUCUCCAUCUCUACCUUCAUCCUCCACAAGAAUCACCACAAGAGAAAGAUCAUAAAAUGAGCUGGAACCAUAGGUACAAAUUAAGGCAAAGAGAAAGUGGCUAAGAAACCCGAUGUAUCUCCACUUCCUGCUCAAUCUCCGUCUCAGCCCCAGAUGAAGCUAGAUGAUGUAAAUCCGAAGAGAUUGGAACUAAGUUGACAGCAACUUGGCAAGGUGAGAUUACAUUUAAUAUAUUUGAUUUCUCCUGCUGCGUAAUGCUGAAUUUCAAUCAUAAAGUUGAUUUCAAUAAUAAAAUUGUUUGGUUAGAAAUGUUUGGUUUAUCUGCUCAAUAUCUAGAUAUUUAGUAUAAAAAUAGAGAACAUUCUCGCUUCCGCUUCGUCCACCGCCGCUCCCGCUGUUGCUUCCCCCUAAGGCGGAACGCUCCACUGUUUACAGCCUAAUAUGAGAACAAAGACUGUUAUUUGAAUACAAAGAAAAGAUAAGUAGAGUUGACGGGCCAAAGCUUUUUUAUCGCUAUGUGGUUGAACAAUGUGUCUUCAUUGAAUUAUUUGUUAUUCUAUUUUGUUUUUUUCAUGGAUGGGCAACGGAAUGUGGAUAAUUCUUGGCAUGGAGUCAUAGAAAAGAAGCUAUUCAUGUGUACACCUCGUGAAGUUGUCCAUGUAUACGCCUUGAGUAAAUUGUCCAUUUGGACGUCUCAGUUGUCCAUGUGGACGUCUCAGUUGGUGGGAAUGAAUUUUCACCAGCUUCAAGGAUAUUGUGACAAGGGAAGUCAAAUUUGUGAAGCUGAAAUGAAGUUUAUAACAUUCUUAGAAAAUAUCUUACAAACAAUUCCACUAUCAUGUAAGGUUGGUUUCUACGCAAGAAUCAUUCACCAGCAUUGGCUUGGUUGUAUCCUCAAAGCUUCCCAGAUUCUAUGAGGCACUCUCAGCAUAGAAUGCAAAAUCAAUUCCAGCAUAGAAAGUCAGUUGAGUUCAGUUAACCAAAAUCAACGUAGCAUCAUCCUUGUUCACAGCCUUUGUAAGAGUGUCUCAGGCAUAUGUUUCACUAUUAACGUGUACAUUAGUUCACAAACACCCAUAUGUACACCGGUUUAUGAACAUCGACGUGUAGACAUUUCAAAAUUUUUUUAAGUAUUUGAUGAACAAAUAA